ACAAGCGGUGGAUGAUGUGGAUUAAUUCGAUGCAAACGCGAAAACCUUACCUACCCUUGACAUGUCUGGAAUCCCGAAGAGAUUUGGGAGUGCUCGCAAGAGAACCGGAACACAGGUGCUGCAUGGCUGUCGUCAGCUCGUGUCGUGAGAUGUUGGGUUAAGUCCCGCAACGAGCGCAACCCUUGUCAUUAGUUGCUACGAAAGGGCACUCUAAUGAGACUGCCGGUGACAACCGGAGGAAGUGGGGAUGACGUCAAGUCCUCAUGGCCCUUAUGGGUAGGGCUUCACACGUCAUACAAUGGUCGGGACAGAGGGUCGCCAACCCGCGAGGGGGAGCCAAUCCCAGAAACCCGAUCGUAGUCCGGAUUGUAGUCUGCAACUCGACUACAUGAAGUCGGAAUCGCUAGUAACCGCAGGUCAGCUAUACUGCGAUGAAUACGUUCCCGGGGCUU
rnacentral:rRNA from 1 species